UCCUGGCUCAGGAUGAACGCUAGCGACAGGCUUAACACAUGCAAGUCGAGGGGCAGCAUAAAGUAGCAAUACUUGGUGGCGACCGGCGCACGGGUGAGUAACGCGUAUGCAACCUACCUAUCAGAGGGGAAUAACCCGGCGAAAGUCGGACUAAUACCGCAUAAAACAGGGGCACCGCAUGGUGAUAUUUGUUAAAGAAAUUCGCUGAUAGAUGGGCAUGCGUUCCAUUAGGUAGUUGGUGAGGUAACGGCUCACCAAGCCGACGAUGGAUAGGGGAACUGAGAGGUUGGUCCCCCACACUGGUACUGAGACACGGACCAGACUCCUACGGGAGGCAGCAGUGAGGAAUAUUGGUCAAUGGGCGGGAGCCUGAACCAGCCAAGUCGCCGUGAAGGAAGAAGGAUCUAUGGUUCGUAAACUUCUUUUGCAGGGGAAUAAGGUGCAGGACGUGUCCUGUUUUGUAUGUACCCUGAGAAUAAGGAUCGGCUAACUCCGUGCCAGCCGCCGC
rnacentral:rRNA from 1 species